UACGGAAAGCAGCAGUGGGGAAUAUUGCACAAUGGGCGAAAGCCUGAUGCAGCUAUGCCGCGUGUAUGAAGAAGGCCUUAGGGUUGUAAAGUACUUUCAUCGGGGAGGAAAAAACAAAACUAAUAAUUUUAUUUCUUGACGUUACCCGAAAAAGAAGCACCGGCUAACUCCGUGCCAGCAGCCGCGGUAAUACGGAGGGUGCUAGCGUUAAUCAGAAUUACUGGGCGUAAAGAGCACGUAGGUGGUUUUUUUAAGUUCAGAUGUGAAAUCCCUGGGCUUAAACCUAGGAAACUGCAUUUUGAAACUGAAAUACUAGAGUAUCGUAGAGGGAGGUAGAAUUCUAGGUGUAGCGGUGAAAUGCGUAGAUAUCUGGAGGAAUACCUGUGGCGAAAGCGGCCUCCUAAACGAAUACUGACACUGAGGGUGCGAAAAGCGUGGGGAGCAAACAGGGAUUAGAUACC
rnacentral:rRNA from 1 species